rnacentral:rRNA from 1 species
CCGGAGGGUGCAAACGUUGCUCGGAAUUACUGGGCGUAAAGCGCGUGUAGGCGGUCACGCAAGUCAGGUGUGAAAGCCCAGGGCUCAACCCUGGAAGUGCACAUGAUACUACGUGGCUGGAGUACUGAAGAGGAGAGCGGAAUUCCCGGUGUAGAGGUGAAAUUCGUAGAUAUCGGGAGGAACACCAGUGGCGAAGGCGGCUCUCUGGGCAGAUACUGACGCUGAGACGCGAAAGCGUGGGUAGCAAACAGGAUUAGAUACCCUGGUAGUCCACGCUGUAAACGAUGAGAACUGGGUGUCGUGGGUAUUGACCCCCGCGGUGCCGAAGCCAACGCGUUAAGUUCUCCGCCUGGGAAGUACGGCCGCAAGGCUA